rnacentral:rRNA from 1 species
GAUGAACGCUGGCGGUAUGCCUAACACAUGCAAGUCGAACGGGCUUUUCGGAGCUAGUGGCGGACGGGUGAGUAACGCGUGAGAAUCUGCCUUCAGGAUGGGGAUAACAGGGAGAAAUCGCUGCUAAAACCCAAUGUGCCGAAAGGUGAAAUACUUGUAGCCAGAAGAGGAGCUCGCGUCCGAUUAGUUAGUUGGUGGGGUAAGAGCCUACCAAGGCAGCGAUCGGUAGCGGGUCUGAGAGGAUGAGCAGCCAGACUGGGACUGAGGCACGGCCCAGACUCCUACGGGAGGCAGCAGUGGGGAAUUUUCCGCAAUGGGCGAGAGCCUGACGGAGCAAUACCGCGUGAGGGAGGAAGGCUUUUGGGUUGUAAACCUCUUUUGUUAAGGAAGAAGAAAGUGACGGUACUUAAAGAAUAAGCAUCGGCUAACUCCGUGCCAGCCGCCGCGGUAA